AAGCCGGAUCCACUUCCUGGACCUGACGAAAAAAGGGGAGGUGCGACUUUCAAUCACAGAGGUUAUCUUCUGUGAUUGGCUGGCUUCUCAAGUCAAUAAUGUCCUUUACUGCAUGACCUUUGAGAUCAACACCAUCAUCUGAGUAGCCACUUUGCGAGGCCAGCAAGAAGCUGAAGGCACGGCGUGCUGCAUCAGUCUCUAACCAGUUAGACCUAAAUCUGUCCUAGUCAUGUUUGGGAUGGCCCCAGACGCCAGUGUGAACACUGGACAGAGCACUGAGGAGAGCUCAGCUGCCAAAGCCACAGAGACCCCAACAGUAAGGACGGGGCAUGGCACAUCAUCACCGGCUCAUUGGCUGAACUCUUGCAGAAGGUGUGUGUGUGUUGUCUGUCUUCUCCCCUCUCUCUCUGCCUCCUACCCUGCAGCCCAUAGGGAACACAGAACACCAGCUGGCUCUCAAUGCUCUGACUUCCUAAAUUGAGCAGCCAUUUCAGAGAUGAGUGUUGACAUAGAGAUCUGGUCUCUUAUCAAAAGUCAUUUUACACAUGGGACAUUGACACAGGUCACUGUUGUCCCAGUACUUGGUGAUACAGGCCUUGCAGAAGUUGUGUCCACAUGGAAUAGAGACAGGAUCAGUGAACACAUCCAGACAGAUAGAACACUGGAACUGAUCUUCAGACAGGAGACUGCUGCAGGAAGCCAUUUCUAUAAUAAGAGCAAAAGGUAAAUUAUGAAUCUAUUAUUAAAAGGUAAAUUAUGAAUCUUGUGAACCUAUGAACUCAUCAACACAACUGUAACAUUUUCUAUUGUAUGAAUUGUACUUUAAUAUGUUGUAGAAAAACAUCACACUGUUGUAAUUAUGAAGAUGGGUAAUGAUUAUGGAUUAUAUGAUUGAAAAUGAACCUCUUAAUCACUUUUUACCUUUAUAUGCUAUAUUACUGAAAACCAGAUGCAAAGCUGUUGACUGAUUAGUAUUGCCACUAAUAUGUAGAAGAUAUUAAGGCCAAAGUGCAAAUCUGGAUAUUUAGGGGCUGAGGGCGAGAGAAGACUGUGUGUAUAUGCUUCUUCCAUAGAAAACUACAAGGUCCAGAUAUCAUGGACUACAAGGCCCAGAUAUCAUGGGACAGAUUUACGACCCUACGCUCAGCAACCUAGUGCAGCUGGUCUGCACUGGGGGCUAAUCUGAAGCCCCUAGGGUAAGAGACCAAUAGUGUGAGAAAUGCAUAAUGCAUCUGUGACUAACAGUAUUGUACAAAUAGAAAAAUUACAGAACUGAUAAGGUUUUGAUAUAUAAGACAAAUGUCCGGAGAAAAAUUCUAGUCUGCUCCCGGGAACACACUCACUUGUUUAGAUACGUUUGUGUCUGAAUAAACUUUUGCAUCAGACUCUGAGUUCCAGUGCGUCUGUUUGGACUUAGGAUCUAGCCCUUCACGACAUUUAGAACCAUUCUUCAAUUUUUAGACUUAGAAUUUUUCUUCACUUCAAGACUUAAUAUAUUUCACAAUACA